rnacentral:rRNA from 1 species
GACGAACCGUGCGAACGUUGUUCGGAAUCACUGGGCUUAAAGGGCGCGUAGGCGGAUGACCAAGUCAGGGGUGAAAGCCCGCAGCUCAACUGCGGAAGUGCCUUUGAUACUGGUUGUCUCGAGGGAGAUAGGGGCAUGUGGAACUUCCGGUGGAGCGGUGAAAUGCGUAGAUAUCGGAAAGAACACCAACGGCGAAAGCACUCUGCUGGGCCGACACUGACACUGAGAGACGAAAGCUAGGGGAGCAAAUGGG